CCUACGGGAGGCAGCAGUGGGGGAUAUUGCACAAUGGGGGAAACCCUGAUGCAGCGACGCCGCGUGUGGGAAGACGGUCCUCUGGAUUGUAAACCACUGUCCCCAGGGACGAAGCUGACGGUACCUGGGGAGGUAGCUCCGGCUAACUACGUGCCAGCAGCCGCGGUCAUACGUAGGGAGCGAGCGUUGUCCGGAAUUACUGGGUGUAAAGGGAGUGUAGGCGGGACUGCAAGUUGGGUGUCAAAUCUACCGGCUCAACCGGUAGCCGCACUCAAAACUGGAGUUCUUGAGUGAAGUAGAGGCAGGCGGAAUUCCUAGUGUAGCGGUGAAAUGCGUAGAUAUUAGGAGGAACACCAGUGGCGAAGGCGGCCUGCUGGGCUUUUACUGACGCUGAGGCUCGAAAGUGUGGGGAGCAAACAGGAUUAGAUACCCCGGUAGUC
rnacentral:rRNA from 1 species